AAGGUCCGGGGCGUUAUCCGGAUUUAUUGGGUUUAAGGGAGCGUAGGCCGGAGAUUAAGCGUGUUGUGAAAUGUAGACGCUCAACGUCUGCACUGCAGCGCGAACUGGUUUCCUUGAGUACGCACAAAGUGGGCGGAAUUCGUGGUGUAGCGGUGAAAUGCUUAGAUAUCACGAAGAACUCCGAUUGCGAAGGCAGCUCACUGGAGCGCAACUGACGCUGAAGCUCGAAAGUGCGGGUAUCGAACAGGAUUAGAUACCCUGGUAGUCCGCACGGUAAACGAUGGAUGCCCGCUGUUGGUCUGAACAGGUCAGCGGCCAAGCGAAAGCAUUAAGCAUCCCACCUGGGGAGUACGCCGGCAACGGUGAAACUCAAAGGAAUUGACGGGGGCCCGCACAAGCGGAGGAACAUGUGGUUUAAUUCGAUGAUACGCGAGGAACCUUACCCGGGCUUGAAUUGCAGAGGAAGGAUUUGGAGACAAUGACGCCCUUCGGGGUCUCUGUGAAGGUGCUGCAUGGUUGUCGUCAGCUCGUGCCGUGAGGUGUCGGCUUAAGUGCCAUAACGAGCGCAACCCCUCUCCUUAGUUGCCAUCAGGUUAAGCUGGGCACUCUGGGGACACUGCCACCGUAAGGUGUGAGGAAGGUGGGGAUGACGUCAAAUCAGCACGGCCCUUACGUCCGGGGCUACACACGUGUUACAAUGGCAGGUACAGAGAGACGGUCCCUUGCAAAAUGGAUCAAAUCCUUAAAGCCUGUCUCAGUUCGGACUGGGGUCUGCAACCCGACCCCACGAAGCUGGAUUCGCUAGUAAUCGCGCAUCAGCCAUGGCGCGGUGAAUACGUUCCCGGGCCUUGCACACACCGCCCGU
rnacentral:rRNA from 1 species